CUGACUGCUAUCAGAACGGGACUAAGCCAUGCGAGUUUACCAAUCAAAGCAUGUUGGUUGGCGGCGAACGGCUCAGUAACACGUAGUCAACCUGCCCUCGGGUCGAGUAUAAUCUCGGGAAACUGAGGCUAAUUCUCGAUAGAUCAAAAUUCCCUGGAAUGGGUUUUGGUCCAAACGGCGUAACAGCAUCUUGUUAUUUUCGCCCGAGGAUGGGACUGCGGCCGAUCAGGCUGUUGGUGGGGUAAAGGCCCACCAAACCAGUAACCGGUACGGGCUUUGAGAGAAGGAGCCCGGAGAUGGACACUGAGACAAGGGUCCAGGUCCUACGGGGCGCAGCAGGCGCGAAACCUUCGCAAUGCGCGCAAGCGCGACGAGGUUAUUCUGAGUGAUUUCCGCUGAGGAAAUCUUUUCUUAGAUCUAAAAAGUCUGGGGAAUAAGGGGAGGGCAAGUCUGGUGUCAGCCGCCGCGGUAAUACCAGCUCCUCGAGUGGUCAGGGCGUUUAUUGGGCCUAAAGCAUCCGUAGCCUGCUCAGUAGGUCUCCUGUUAAAUCCAACGGCUCAACCGUUGGUCUGCAGGAGAUACCGCUGGGCUAGGAGGCGGGAGAGGCGGACGGUACUCCGAGGGUAGGGGUAAAAUCCUUUGAUCCCCGGAAGACCACCAGUGGCGAAGGCGGUCCGCCAGAACGCGCUCGACGGUGAGGGAUGAAAGCUGGGGGAGCGAACCGGAUUAGAUACCCGGGUAGUCCCAGCUGUAAACGAUGCGAGCUAGGUGACACGACGCCUUCGGGGCAUCGUGGUGCCGCAGGGAAGCCGUUAAGCUCGCCGCCUGGGGAGUACGGACGCAAGUCUGAAACUUAA
rnacentral:rRNA from 1 species